rnacentral:lncRNA from 1 species
GUACUUUUCCGACAAACCGAAAAAUUUUUCCGACAAACCAAAAAGUUUUCCGGACGACAACAUUUUAAAUCUUCACCCCCCGUCGACAACUUUGACAAUUUCCGACAGCCUUGACAAUUUUCCGACAAUUUCCGGCAGCAUUGGCAAUUUUACGACGGGUGUCAACAAUAGGGGAGGGCCAUGCCCCCCCCCCGGCCACGGCGCCACUGAUGACAAUCACUAGACGUAUGACGUCAUUGACGUACGUCGACGAAUGUUUUCACGAUUUCAUGUUUGUCAACAGAGCCCCCCCCCGGUAAAUUUAGUUCUAUAGCACUGCUGCAAAGCCUUGCAAAGUCUCUAUUGCACUAUUCGUACUAUUCGUCGCCUAUUCGUGGACUAUUCGUACUAUUCGUCGCCUAUUCGUGGACUAUUCGUACUAUUCGUCGACUAUUCGCGGACUAUUCGCACUAUUCGUCGACUAUUCGCGGACUAUUCGCACUAUUCGUCGACUAUUCGUACUAUUCGUCGACUAUUCGCACUAUUCGCUUCACUAUUCUAGUUUUAUCAAUUGCCCCGAGCAGAGUGUGCAUUUUGCUUUUUAAUUAAACUUAAAAAUUCAAGGUACUUUUAUAUAAAUAAGAUUCAGACAAAGAUUUAAUUAGUCAGUUCUGUGCACGGCUUGACUGCCAAGCUUUCUCAAGGUCUCAACUGAGGGUCCUGAAGGGGUAAAAUGGGAACUGGGAUUGAUCUAAUUUUAGACUGGGAAAAUGGGAUUUGGGUUGCUGGGACUGGGAUUUGGCCACUGGGAAUGGGAAAUGAAGACCUCAAAAAUUGGAAUGGGAUUGAGGUAAUGCGAGUCGAUUCCCAAUUUUUCUACAUUUUAAAUGUUUUAAAAUACAAUUUUGAUCCGUUUUCGGUGUCUUUGGUCAUGAUUUUUGUUGUUAAGAGGCGGACCAUUAGAAAAGUGAUGGGGCAUUUUCAACGUGCACGAUUUGUUUUUCAAAAAUUUUUGCUGUGUUUAUUUUUUUAAAUAAUCCUUUGCCUGAUUUUUUUUAAUUUGUUGGCGAGCGGGGGGGGGGGAUGGUGUUGAACAAAAAAGGGUCAAAAAAAAUUUUUUCGGACUGACUAACAUCGUUUUAGUUUGGCGAGCGGGAGGGAGGGGAGGUGAAAAAUUUACACUGUACCUCCGAUAGGCCCUGUAAUUUUCCCUAUUGAAAAGUCUCUGCACGAAUUUUUUUUUCAAACAUUUCUGGUGCACGAUUUUUUUUCUUUCUAUUUUCCCUGCUCGAUUUUUAUUUUUGCUUUUGCCCCAUCACUUUUCUAAUGGUCUAUUAUUCACAGCACUACCUGCGAACAGGCAUACUCUGGCGCCCGGAAUUCUGGGUUUUCUGAUUCUGCGUGUCUCAAUGAUGCAAAUGCCAUUUCCGGGAUUCAAAUUUAAAAAUUUUUUGUGCCUUUGGCACAUGCUCCCCUCCCAAUAUUUCAUAAAGUGUCCACCACUUGCACACACGGUGAAGGUCUUAAAACUGUUUAUUCUACCGAUAAAUAAAGGGUUGUUUAUUGACUGGGAUUUCAAUAACUCCAGACCUGCCAAGUCUCACGAUUUAAUCGUGAGACUCACGAUUUUUUAUGCUUUCUCACGAUCUCACGAUUAAGUCCCCAAAUCUCACGAUUUUCGGAACUUAUGAAAUCAUCGAAGAGCGCAACAUCUAGUUACAAUUAGGCACACUCUUCCAAGGAAACAUCACACUUUAUUAGUGUAUUAAUAAUGCGCAUUGUUAUAUACCUAGCGUGAACACCAAACGUGAUUGGCUGAUUUGUGGUCACGUGACUUCAGAUAAAUGCAAUGUUUCCCGCCGGGCAACAAGUGAAAAAUUAUUGCCCGCCCCGACCGGCCACGUACAUAAAUAAACAAAAUGGAGGCACAACUCAGAUAAUUAGAAACUACGAUUUUCCAAGUUUGUGUUCAAAUAAAGAAUAUAAAAGAGAAGGAAAAUACACAACAGGCAACAGGAUAUGCUGCUGAAACCGUUUAAGCAGGUUCUUUUAAUUUUAAACUCGUUUACACUAUAGAGUUUUCGUCACGAAAUACAAUUGUUGUAUGAAUGUUGUUGAAGUUGAUUUUUGUUCGUCGCUAUAUAACAAAACACUUAAUGCCUGUUCCCUCGGGAAAUAGUUAGUUUUGUUUCCCUCGAAUCUUAAUGUUUCCCUCAACUUCGUCUCGGGAAACAUUGAGAUUCUCGGGAAAACAAAACUAUUUCCCUCGGGAGCAGACAUUAAGUGUAUAAUGGAUCGUGACUAAAACACCACAUUAGUACAUACGAGUAACAUACGAGUAACACGCAGGUACAUACGAGUACAUACGAGUAACAAACGAGUACAUACGAGUAACAUACGAGUACAUACGAGUAACAUACGAGUACAUACGAGUAACACACGAGUACAUACGAGUAAAACACAAGUACAUACGAGUACAUACGAGUAGAAUACGAGUAAAAUACGACUAGUAAACUUGUUUUUAGUGUUUUUAGAUUGAAUACAGGCAAAAAGAUCGUCUUCUCUGUCGAAAAACGUGACAUAGACUGAAACCGGCUAUCUUUAAAACCCGGAACGGGGAAUGGGGGGACGGGGAAUGGGAGAACGGGAAGUGGGGGAACGGGGAACGGAGGGAAUGGAUGGGCGAGGGGGGGAGGGAGGAAAUAGGAGACAGGGGGCGGGGGAGGUCUGCCAGAUUCUAUAAACCACAACUUUGUAGUUUGUACAACAUCUACUUUUAGGUAUUUCACCUAGAUAGUUAGAUACAUGACACAAACCAUAGGCUUCACAUACUUCACGGCAUGGUUUGCUUUCAAAACCCUGUGAGCAUGCACAAAACCUAACUCGCUAAGGGAAAGUGCAUUUAUUACACCUAGGGAGGGGGAUGAAGAUGUCUUGAAAAAAGCUCAUAUUUUUACAGGGCCCCUGUGGAGGUUAUCGGUAAAUUUCGAUGCCCCCCUCCAAGUUUUUAAAAUUUUCAAUGCCCCCCCCCCUCUAGAAUUCGGAAUCGAAGGAGUACAAUCCGGAAUUCUCUCUUAUCAUCGAUA